CCCACAUCAAAUAUAAGACGCAUACACACUCGCCCGCUAACACACAGGAAGUCUCUAAAAUACACUCUCACACUCCUCUCCACUGGACCCACACCCCUCAACAGUCUGUCAUGACCAGCAUAAACAGACUUGCAAGCACAAUUCCACUGGGUAAUGGUUAGACUUCUAAUGGAUGAGCUGGUGAAUCAAAAUGGCUUUCUUCAGCAGGCUGAGCUGACAUCAGGCCUGUGGUAAUUAUCAACAGCUGAUAACUGAUCUCCUGCUGUGUCAAACUCUGACUCAAAAUUUGCAUUCAGAUGCCAUAUAAAAAGAUGUUGUUAUUCUCUGAAUGGAAUCCUCCAGGUGGUCGAGCCACACACUGUAAUCUUUAGGAGCAGGUAGAGAAGCUGUGAUGUGUGCUGUGCCUGUGUGUGUUUGUUGAGAGGGAGUGUUAGUGCAUACCUAUGAAGAAACUCUAUUGCUGUGGGGUCUUCUGGUCUCCUGCAGCGUUGCACUGAAGGGUUUUCCCAUACCCCCUUCAGCUUCCAGGGAAAUGCUUUGGCUGUUGGGUAGCCCAGCUCGUAAAGAGACGUACAGGGGGAUCCUCAAUGAUUAUUUGGACUUGGUAGGGGAGGAUGAGGAUGCCAAGACCACGCCUUGGUCCAGAUGAUCGACAUAUGCCAAUUCCCACCUAGAGAUUACGCCAGCUACAGCUGCAGACUGACUGACCAUCCCAGCUCCAUCUAAGGCAAUUCCACCACCACCCAAGAGAAAUACGACCAUCUGACCAUCCCAGCUCAGACCACUCCAUUCCCAACGAAGAGCAAAGACGGACUACUUGUCACAUUAAUGCUGAAGUUACACUUGGUAUUUAAUGCUAAAUUUACAUCACAUGUCAGCAGUUUGAAGUUAUAGCUGCAUUCGGUGACCCUGAUUGGAGGUUGUUGGGUGGGUGUUUUGUGUGGAGUGGGGGGGGGGGCUCGUUGGUUGUGGGGAUUCAUCUGCUAGGGCUGUGUGGGUCCGGUUUGGCUUGUUUUGUGGUCGUUGUCGGACAACAGAGGAAUGAAGCUACAACAUGCCAUUACUACUUUCCCUGGUUGUUCCUCUGUUUUUUCUGGUGUCGAUCGUGGAGUGGGACCGGGUUGAACCUGCACGGUUUUCGUUGAGUGUGACUUUCUGGGUUGCAGAUGGUGGGCUCUCCCUCUUCCACGUGGAUAUUUGCUCGGUGGCUUUUGGUCGGGGUCACUGAGUGCAGCUAUGACAUAUCAGAGGGGAUCUGGCCCUCCCGGCUGAGCCUGGUUUCUCCCGAGGUUUUUUCUCCAUUAAUCAAUCAUUGGAGUUUGGGUUCCUCGCCACAGCAGGGCAGUGUUGGCUUGCUCACUGGGAGACUGCAUUUAUUUAUUUAUUAUUUAGAUAUUAUGGAUUAGAAUGAUCUUGCUUGUUCUAUGAACACCAUGCACUGUGCCGUGUUUUACCUUUUCUGUUUUUCCUAUUUGCCCCUGUAAAGCUGCUUUGGAACAAUGCACAUUUUGAAAAGCGCUAUAUAAAUAAACUUGAAUUGAAUUGUA